CCUACGGGUGGCAGCAGUGAGGAAUAUUGGUCAAUGGGCGCGAGCCUGAACCAGCAAAGUAGCGUGAAGGAUGACUGCCCUACGGGUUGUAAACUUCUUUUAUAAAGAAGUAAAGUAAGGCACGUGUGCCUUUUUGUAUGUCCUUUAUGACUAAGGCUCGGCUAACUCCGUGCCAGCAGCCGCGGUAAUACGGAGGAUCCGUGCGUUAUCCGGAUUUAUGGGGUUUAAAGGGAGCGUAGACGGGUUGUUAAGUCAGUUGUGAAAGUCUGCGGCUCAACCGUAAAAUUGCAAUUGAUACUGGCAGCCUUGAGUACAGUUGAGGUAGGAGGAAUUCGUGGUGUAGCGGUGAAAUGCUUAGAUAUCACGAAGAACUCCGAUUGCGAAGGCAGCUUACUAAACUGCCACUGACAUUGAUGCUCGAAAGUGUGGGUAUCAAACAGGAUUAGAUACCCCUGUAGUC
rnacentral:rRNA from 1 species